GAAAUAAACACUAUACAAAUUUAAACAACACUGCAUCAAAUACCUAUUCCAACCAGGCUUCUGCCUUGGAGUUUACUUUAAGAAGUCGUUGAUCACUUUCAUCAACAAUAACUGUGUAACUUUAUUUUGUACAUGUAUUUAUUAAAAAAAUAUAAAAUUACAUGUGGCAUAAGUACAAUUAAAUUCCCUAGAAUUAAAGAAAAAAUAUUUUGCUCAGCUAACACAAAAGUGCUUUAACAUUAUUAUU